rnacentral:tRNA from 1 species
UUCCUGACAGUCCAGUGGUUAGGACUCAACACUUUAACUGCCAGGGCCCAGGUUUGAUCCCUGGUCAGGGAA